rnacentral:rRNA from 1 species
UAAGCGACUAAGCGUACACGGUGGAUGCCUAGGCAGUCAGAGGCGAUGAAGGGCGUGCUAAUCUGCGAAAAGCGUCGGUAAGCUGAUAUGAAGCGUUAUAACCGACGAUACCCGAAUGGGGAAACCCAGUGCAAUACGUUGCACUAUCGUUAGAUGAAUACAUAGUCUAACGAGGCGAACCGGGGGAACUGAAACAUCUAAGUACCCCGAGGAAAAGAAAUCAACCGAGAUUCCCCCAGUAGCGGCGAGCGAACGGGGAGGAGCCCAGAGUCUGAAUCAGUUUGUGUGUUAGUGGAAGCGUCUGGAAAGUCGCACGGUACAGGGUGAUAGUCCCGUACACCAAAAUGCACAGGCUGUGAACUCGAUGAGUAGGGCGGGACACGUGACAUCCUGUCUGAAUAUGGGGGGACCAUCCUCCAAGGCUAAAUACUCCUGACUGACCGAUAGUGAACCAGUACCGUGAGGGAAAGGCGAAAAGAACCCCGGCGAGGGGAGUGAAAUAGAACCUGAAACCGUGUACGUACAAGCAGUGGGAGCACCUUCGUGGUGUGACUGCGUACCUUUUGUAUAAUGGGUCAGCGACUUAUAUUUUGUAGCAAGGUUAACCGAAUAGGGGAGCCGUAGGGAAACCGAGUCUUAACUGGGCGUCUAGUUGCAAGGUAUAGACCCGAAACCCGGUGAUCUAGCCAUGGGCAGGUUGAAGGUUGGGUAACACUAACUGGAGGACCGAACCGACUAAUGUUGAAAAAUUAGCGGAUGACUUGUGGCUGGGGGUGAAAGGCCAAUCAAACCGGGAGAUAGCUGGUUCUCCCCGAAAGCUAUUUAGGUAGCGCCUCGUGAACUCAUCUUCGGGGGUAGAGCACUGUUUCGGCUAGGGGGCCAUCCCGGCUUACCAAACCGAUGCAAACUCCGAAUACCGAAGAAUGUUAUCACGGGAGACACACGGCGGGUGCUAACGUCCGUCGUGAAGAGGGAAACAACCCAGACCGCCAGCUAAGGUCCCAAAGUCAUGGUUAAGUGGGAAACGAUGUGGGAAGGCACAGACAGCCAGGAUGUUGGCUUAGAAGCAGCCAUCAUUUAAAGAAAGCGUAAUAGCUCACUGGUCGAGUCGGCCUGCGCGGAAGAUGUAACGGGGCUAAACCAUGCACCGAAGCUGCGGCAGCGACACUUAGGUGUUGUUGGGUAGGGGAGCGUUCUGUAAGCCGUUGAAGGUGACCUGUGAGGGUUGCUGGAGGUAUCAGAAGUGCGAAUGCUGACAUAAGUAACGAUAAUGCGGGUGAAAAACCCGCACGCCGGAAGACCAAGGGUUCCUGUCCAACGUUAAUCGGGGCAGGGUGAGUCGACCCCUAAGGCGAGGCUGAAAAGCGUAGUCGAUGGGAAACAGGUUAAUAUUCCUGUACUUGGUGUUACUGCGAAGGGGGGACGGAGAAGGCUAGGCUGGCCGGGCGACGGUUGUCCCGGUUUAAGCGUGUAGGGGGAGUGACCAGGUAAAUCCGGUUGCUUAUCAACCCUGAGGCGUGAUGACGAUGCACCACGGUGCAGAAGCAGUUGAUGCCAUGCUUCCAGGAAAAGCCUCUAAGCAUCAGGUAACAUUAAAUCGUACCCCAAACCGACACAGGUGGUCAGGUAGAGAAUACUCAGGCGCUUGAGAGAACUCGGGUGAAGGAACUAGGCAAAAUGGUGCCGUAACUUCGGGAGAAGGCACGCUGGCGUUAGGUGAAAGGACUAGCUCCUGGAGCUGAAGCCAGUCGCAGAUACCAGCUGGCUGCAACUGUUUAAUAAAAACACAGCACUGUGCAAACACGAAAGUGGACGUAUACGGUGUGACGCCUGCCCGGUGCUGGAAGGUUAAUUGAUGGGGUCAGCCGCGAGGCGAAGCUCUUGAUCGAAGCCCCAGUAAACGGCGGCCGUAACUAUAACGGUCCUAAGGUAGCGAAAUUCCUUGUCGGGUAAGUUCCGACCUGCACGAAUGGCGUAAUGAUGGCCAGGCUGUCUCCACCCGAGACUCAGUGAAAUUGAACUCGCUGUGAAGAUGCAGUGUACCCGCGGCAAGACGGAAAGACCCCGUGAACCUUUACUAUAGCUUGACACUGAACAUUGAGCCUUGAUGUGUAGGAUAGGUGGGAGGCCUUGAAGUGUGGACGCCAGUCUGCAUGGAGCCAACCUUGAAAUACCACCCUUUAAUGUUUGAUGUUCUAACUCGGCCCCAUGAUCUGGGGUGAGGACAGUGUCUGGUGGGUAGUUUGACUGGGGCGGUCUCCUCCCAAAGAGUAACGGAGGAGCACGAAGGUUAGCUAAUCACGGUCGGACAUCGUGAGGUUAGUGCAAAGGCAUAAGCUAGCUUGACUGCGAGAGUGACGGCUCGAGCAGGUACGAAAGUAGGUCUUAGUGAUCCGGUGGUUCUGAAUGGAAGGGCCAUCGCUCAACGGAUAAAAGGUACUCCGGGGAUAACAGGCUGAUACCGCCCAAGAGUUCAUAUCGACGGCGGUGUUUGGCACCUCGAUGUCGGCUCAUCACAUCCUGGGGCUGAAGUAGGUCCCAAGGGUAUGGCUGUUCGCCAUUUAAAGUGGUACGCGAGCUGGGUUUAGAACGUCGUGAGACAGUUCGGUCCCUAUCUGCCGUGGGCGUUGGAAGAUUGAGAGGGGCUGCUCCUAGUACGAGAGGACCGGAGUGGACGAAUCACUGGUGUUCGGGUUGUCAUGCCAAUGGCAUUGCCCGGUAGCUAAAUUCGGAAGAGAUAACCGCUGAAAGCAUCUAAGCGGGAAACUUGCCUCGAGAUGAGUCUUCCCUGGGGCUUAAAGCCCCCUGAAGGAACGUUAAAGACUAUGACGUUGAUAGGCUGGGUGUGUAAGUGCAGCGAUGUAUUGAGCUAACCAGUACUAAUGAUCCGUGAGGCUUAACCU